rnacentral:rRNA from 1 species
UACGUAGGGUGCGAGCGUUAAUCGGAAUUACUGGGCGUAAAGCGUGCGCAGGCGGUUUUGUAAGCCAGAUGUGAAAGCCCCGGGCUUAACCUGGGAAUGGCAUUUGGGACUGCAAGGCUGGAGUGUGGCAGAGGAGACUGGAAUUCCUGGUGUAGCAGUGAAAUGCGUAGAUAUCAGGAGGAACACCGAUGGCGAAGGCAGGUCUCUGGGCCGAUACUGACGCUGAGGAGCGAAAGCGUGGGGAGCGAACAGG